UCUAUCGCGAAAUUUAAAUUCUCUGAAUGGAUAGUUGAGGUGGAAAUAAUAAUAUCUUCAAAUAUAUUUCUUUAGCAGAAAUGCUUACUUUUUUAGUAAAAUGACAUAUUACUACAUGCAAUGAGGGUGCUUUCACUGAGAGACCGUUCAAGCUACUGCUGAAUGGGAGUGGCUUCUCACUAGCUAUGACGUCACUUAGCAACUAGCAAAGUCCCUCCCUCCUCCAUGCUGAAUAACAUCCUCACACCAACUGUUACUGUGGAAGCUCCUUGUGAGAAAAGACUGUACAGGGCAACUAAAGGACGUCAUCAUGCUACAUUGGGUUAUUGUCCAUCGCAGCAGACGUGGGAGAAGGAGAGUGCUGUCCUCAGCCUGCCAGUUUUAUUCAUUAUCCCCACACUUGAUACAGGACGGGAGUUUAUGAUUCUACACAGUGACGUUAGACAGGAAA